UUCCUUAUUAGGUCCUCCACAAUUGCACUAUUAGACACUGGCAGUCUGGUCCCUGGAGCACCUGGCCCUGGCAAAGUUGGUUCAUCGUUGCUGGCUCCUGACUGACUGGCCCUCGGCACACACAUCCCUGGAUCACCUGCCCCUGGUAAAGUAGCCUCUUGGUCGCUCUCUCUGUCUCCUGUCAUGUCCCUUUUCUUGCCCUCAAAAUCCACCUCAAUUUCUCCCUCAACCUCUGUAACAAUAACAAGGUAAUGUUGCUGUUAUAUGUAUUUUGCCUUUGCAUUUGCACCUACUGUUAUCUUCAAUAAAAGGGUACACUACACUCCUAUAGAAAAUAAAUUAAAGCGAAAAAUUACUGUAAUGUGAAUUAAAUCAUCUGCCACAAUCAGAAACCAAAAAAAUGUAUAAAGUCAUCUACUGGCAAUGGUUAAUUUGGUCGAAAUUUUUAGAUUAUCUACAUUCUGUAUGCAAAUCCUCAGAGAAUCCCUGAAGCUGGAUGUACUAAUAUGAAUGUAAUGUCUCAUUAGGAGUGUAGUCUAUUCUUGAAUUACAUUAAAUGGGGAAUAUUGUUGCUGCAUGUAUAAUACUGAAGUUUAAUUUGCCGUAUGUGUGGUCUGUUAUGCUUUGGGUUGGUGCUGGUGGCACCCUUCCAGAACGGGGUUUCCUCCUCUUCGGCUUAGGCCGAUGAAGGAAUAUCGUUGGCACAGCAUCUGGCCUCAACUUCAACUUGCCUCCGGUUUUUGUGGCAGUGAAUUGGUCAUCUUCAAAGUGUACCUGAAGGUUUUUGCGGCUGACCAUUGUCAUCCAUCUUUUCAAUCGAUCUUUGUCUCGGACCGAUUGGUGCAUCCAAAUGCUGCACAUCCAACCAUGGUAUGACCACUGAUCUACAAAAUGUUAGUUGUAACCAAUGAACCACGACACCAUUGAACAUCAGAGAGCGGGUGACAACUUUUCCUCAACCACCUAUGCCCUCUGACUUUUGAGAAUAGGUAAGAGGUCAGAGUUCAUAACCAAACAAGGAUCCUCCCUCCCUCUCUCUCCUCAACCACUUUUGAAUUUGCUCAGAGCUAUUAUAAGUGUGGUAAAGUAUAGUAUAUUUGCGACAUUAUAAUAUGCUGUGAAUGGUUUGCCCUAUAUAUAGUGUUACCUGCUGUGUCCAUUGUUGAAUAUAUUGUCGCCCUAUUUCGAUUCAUCUGCUUUUUAGUGUCCAGGACUCAGAUGAAGAGGAUAUUAGUAUGCGUUGUCGAGAGGAACUGCCCUACAGUGACUGGCCAUAGUGCAUACUGGAACUCCACAGAUCUUGCUGGACCAGCAGUAUCGUUGUUGUGGCCAUCACAGGUUUCAGUAGAGCCCCCCCCCCAAAAAAAAAAAUGGUUACGAUACCUGUUCUUAACGCCUGUUUACACAUUUGUUGUUCUUGUUCACACAUACUGUACGUAUGUUUGUUGAUAUUAUUCAUGCUUGUUCCCAGUUUUUUUGUUCCACAUUGUUCAUUUUUAUCUUAUGCCAGGUACCUUUAUUAUUAAUGUUGUCCUUCCCUUCAGCCCUGAUGCACUCUGAAGCCUGAUGUAUGUGGAGGAUUUUUUUAAAAAUGUAUUUAUAAUAUUCCUCCCUGUUCCUUCACUUUGUUCUUGUUUUUCCAGUUAG